rnacentral:miRNA from 1 species
GAGUCAAGAUGAGAUUGAGAAAGAGAGGGGAGGAUGAGAAGGAGUCACAAAAGUGAAAACAAAAACUUAAAAGUGAAAACAAUUUCAAAUAGAUUUCAGUUUUGAAUUUUUGUUUUCACUUUUGUUACUCAUCCCUCCCAUCCUCCACUCGCAUGUUCACUCUCAAUCCCAUCUC